rnacentral:rRNA from 1 species
AACGAACGCUGGCGGCAUGCCUAACACAUGCAAGUCGAACGAGAUCUUCGGGUCUAGUGGCGCACGGGUGCGUAACGCGUGGGAAUCUGCCCUUUGGUUCGGAAUAACAGUUGGAAACGACUGCUAAUACCGGAUGAUGACGAAAGUCCAAAGAUUUAUCGCCAGAGGAUGAGCCCGCGUAGGAUUAGCUAGUUGGUGUGGUAAAGGCGCACCAAGGCGACGAUCCUUAGCUGGUCUGAGAGGAUGAUCAGCCACACUGGGACUGAGACAAGGCCGGGACUCCUACGGGAGGCAGCAGUGGUGAAUAUGGGACAGUGGGCGAAAGCCUGAUCCAGCAAUGCCGCGUGAGUGGUGAAGGCCUUAGGGUUGUAAAGCUCUUUUACCCGGGAUGAUAAUGACAGUACCGGGAGAAUAAGCUCCGGCUAACUCCGUGCCAGCAGCCGCCGUAA